rnacentral:rRNA from 1 species
CCUGAGAAACCCAAAAGAUCGAAUGGAGAGAUUCAUCGUCAGCUCUUAUUGUAUAUAUAUAAUUUAUGAUACGAGUUACCUUUGUUGUAUUGCUUGUACAUAAUUGUAUAUUUAAUUGCAAUUUGUUGUCGGCGUGCACUUCUCUCCUAGUAGAACAUCGCGACCCGUUGAGUGUUGGUCUAUGAUCUAUAUGGAUAGACUUUAAUGUCUAAUAAACAUUAAAGACCAUUUGUGUCAUCUGACCAGCUGCUUGGCGGUAUUCUUAAGGUAUUUAGCCGCAUAUUUAUAUGCGUCCAUAUUCGUCGCAAGUAAGGAUAGUUUCUUGGUAGUACGGACAUAGUGCCGUCGCUGGUACUAUCCUACUGUUAGCUGUUACGAAAUUCUAGGACUGGCUAAAAAUAUAAUUAUUACCGGUCAGCGAUGCUACUGCUUUGGGUACUUUCAGGACCCGUCUUGAAACACGGACCAAGGAGUCUAACAUGUACGCGAGUCAUUGGGAUUUUUUUAAAAAAUUAAACCUAAAGGCGUAAUGAAAGUAAAGGUCGUCCUUGUGUCGACUAAAGGAGGAUAAAUUAUGUUAUGAUGUAAUUUCGCACUCCUGGGGCGUCUCAUUCUCAUUAUGAGAAGAGGCGCACCUAG